AACGUAGGAGACAAACGUUAUCCGGAGUUACUGGGCGUAAAGGGCGUGUAGGCGGUUAGUUAAGUCUGGCGAUGAAGACUCUCGGCUAAACCGGGAGAGGUCGUUGGAUACUGGCUGACUAGAGGACGGUAGAGGCGUGUGGAAUUCCGGGUGUAGUGGUGAAAUGCGUAGAGAUCCGGAGGAACACCAGUGGCGAAGGCGACACGCUGGGCCGUACCUGACGCUAAAGCGCGACAGCAUGGGGAGCAAACGGGG
rnacentral:rRNA from 1 species